AGCUUUGCGCAGUGGCAGUAUCGUAGCCAAUGAGGUUUAUCUGAGGCGCGAUUAUUGCUAUAUUGUGUUUUGCAGAACAGAAUUUUUAAUGAUGUCCAGCUUACUGAUUUAUUUCAUGAAUUUUACCUAUAGGGUUACAUCU
rnacentral:snRNA from 1 species